GAGGAUAUAGUUCAAGUGGUAGAGCGCAUGCUUAGCAUUCACGAGGUUCUGGGUUCAAUUCCCAGUACCUCCU
rnacentral:tRNA from 1 species